CACCUCUAGCAUUACCAGUAUUAGAGGCACUGCCUGCCCAGUGACAUUAGUUAAACGGCCGCGGUAUCCUGACCGUGCAAAGGUAGCAUAAUCAUUUGUUCCUUAAUUAGGGACUUGUAUGAACGGCCCCACGAGGGUUUAACUGUCUCUUACUUUCAAUCAGUGAAAUUGCCCUUCCCGUGAAGAGGCGGGAAUACAAAAAUAAGACGAGAAGACCCUAUGGAGCUUAAAUUAAUAUGUUCAACAGAAUUUAAUUAUAAUCCAAUAGGAAUAAAAAUAUUCUAACUGAACAAUAAAUUUUGGUUGGGGUGACCUCGGAGUAUAACAUAACCUCCGAGCAAUUAAACCAAGACUUACCAGUCAAGGCCAUAUAACUUAUUGAUCCAAUCUUAUUGAUCAACGAAACAAGUUACCCUAGGGAUAACAGCGCAAUCCUAUUUAAGAGUUCAUAUCGACAAUAGGGUUUACGACCUCGAUGUUGGAUCAGGACACCCAAAUGGUGCAGCAGCUAUUAAAGGUUCGUUUGUUCAACG
rnacentral:rRNA from 1 species